GGACCCGUAGCCUAGCAAUAUAAAAGGUUUGUCCCUUGAUAACUAGAAUGGAUAAGGCACAAGCCUCCUAAGUUUGGAUUCCUGGGUUCAAAUCCCAGCGGGUCCGCCA
rnacentral:tRNA from 1 species